ensembl:lncRNA
CCACCUUCCUAACAACCACACACACCUACCUAACAACCCACCUAACAACCCCACCCACCUACCUAACAACCCCACCCACCUUCCUAACAACCCCACACACACUUACCUAACAACCCACCUAACAACCCCACCCACCUACCUAACAACCACACCAACCUUCCUAACAACCCCACACACUUACCUAACAACCCACCUAACAACCCCACCCACCUACCUAACAACCCCACCCACCUACCUAACAACCUCACCCACCUACCUAACAACCUCACCACCUAACAACCCACCUACCUAACAAUCCACCUACCGGGCCUCUCGGGUGUUACAGUUGUCUAAAGGCACUGCAUCGCAGUGCCAGCAGAGAUUCUGGGUUCAAGCCCAGGCUCUGUCGCAGCCGGCCGCGACCGGGAGGUCCUUGGGGCGAUGCACAGCGUUGUCCGGGUUAGGGAGGGUUUGGCCGGCAGGGAUAUCCUUGUCUCAUCGCGCACUAGCGACUCCUGUGGCAGGGCGCAGUGCAUUUUGACCAGGUCGCCAGGUGUACGGUGUUUCCUCCGACACAUUGGAGGACGCACAUAUAGGUUGGAUGUGCGUUAUGUCAAGAAGCAGUGCGGCUAGGUUGGGUUGUGUUUCGGAGGACGCAUGGCUCUCGACCUUUGCAUCUCCUGAGUCCGUACGGGAGUUGCAGCGAUGAGACAAGACUGUAACUACCAAUUGAAUACCACGAAAUUGGGGAGAAAAAAGGGGUAAAAAAAAAAUCAUCAAAAAUAACAACCCACCUUCCUAACAACCCAACAAUCUAACAACCCCACUAACCUACCUAACAACCCACCUACCUAACAACCCACCCACCUAACAACCCAACAAUCUAACAACCCCACCAACCUACCUAACAACCCACCUUCCUAACAACCCAACAAUCUAACAACCCCACCAACCCUACCUAACAACCCACCUUCCGAACAACCCACCUACCUAACAACCCAACCACCUAACAACACCACCCUGAUAUCUAUAGCCACAGAACUCCUCUCUUCUGAUCGCCAGUCCACAGAGGUUCACCAGGCAUGAUUUCCCUCACAGAGCGUGCAGCUCGCUGGCCCUGGCAUGCGGAGCCCUCGCAAAGAACUGCAUGGCAAAGCUAUGAACAGCACACAGCAAAAAGAGAGAUCUACUGAAUCAUCAAAUGGAGGAGAUCGCCUCAUAAAAAUGGGAAAUACAGACCACAUUCAAUAAAUGGAAAUAUAUACAUUGGGCAAGAUUGUACAUAAAAGAGGAACAAGAGUCCAGCUUCUGAAUUAUAACAUAUCAUUUCUGCUUUGGGUUUAUUUUAAGCAUGUUGUAUAGCGGGUGUUUAUGGUAAUGUUAAUGAAAGAAAACAGUAACAGAAUUAUGAUUUGGUUCAAAAUGCUAUGGAUAACCAGAGAAUGUAAUGAUCUACCUAUUAGGUGUUCAGCAAAGUUAUCACUCGUUACACACUGUAUUUAUCCAAUAUAGAGGUCAAGGGUCAAGUUCAGUAUACAUGGGACAGAGCAGAGGUCAGAUUUAGGGGUGUCUUCUCCGGAGGUCAGAUUUAGGGGUGUCUUCUCUGGAGGUCAGAUUUAGGGGUAUACAGUACAUGUGUCUUCUCUAGAGGUCAGAUUUAGCGGUAUACAGCACAUGUGUCAUCUCUAAAGGUCGGGGCAUAGUGAUAAUGACAAAAAGAUGGAUCACACAUGACACAGUCUAUGAAUGACGUCAUCGGGUUCCUUAAGUACUUCCAGUAGUGACUCAAAAUCCAAAGAAUCAAUCACGUGGAAUGUUUGGAUGUUGUCGCACACAGAGCACUUUCCCCAUAGUCUGUUCCUCUCUCUCACAGUGCUGCAGACAGACACACAGUGUGUCCCUGCAGACUAGUUCCACCUGUCUGAUCAGGUGGUGUCACUAUUUAACAGUCCUCAUCAACACCCACUAUACUGGCUGGCUUGUGCUCUCAUAAACUCUUACUAGAAAUCAAGUUCAUCUCUGCUGGUACGCUGCAUGUAUUCACACUAUAGUGGGCUUAUAAUUCUGUAAGGGAGUCCCAAAUCCGCAAGAUAAAAUAUGCUGCUAAAGAAAAGGUGCAUGUCAACAAACAAAAUAUUUAAAUUUUAUUUCUAUGCAAAGAAAGAUGUUGCACAAACUUAUGGGGUUAUUACAUGAAAUAAUGAUAUCAGUAUAAACAUGGAAUAAAACCUCUGCGAAUCAGCCAACAUUUUGUAUUCAGCUAUUCCCACAUCUCAUUUCAUUUCGCUUCAAAGUACUGAAAUAAAGAAUGACAAUGUGCAUAAUUGAAUCAACAUGUCCAAGUGAAAAGCGAAAGAGCAUCCUUUUACAUUUGUGGAAUCGAAGAAAAUAUAUAUUUUGUGUGUUUUUCAACCGAUCUAAAAAUGACUAUUCCAAAUCUGACAUACUGUAUGUGCCGAGGCCUCAACAGGUUACAUUUCCAGGACUUUAGUUUCCAGCUCAGCUGACAGACAGUUGGUGUGUUCCAAGUGCUGCCAUCGCACUGGCAUUGUGUAAAACUCCAUGUUAGUCAUCAUCUCGUGUCCCUAUCAACACUGCAUCAUGUACAGUUGGACCGACGAAUAAACUACUGAAAUAUUUUA